AUGGAGAAGAUAAAUGGGGAUGUGACUCUGUACAAGAUGGAUACAUUGGAAGAUAUAGACAAUCAAUUGAAGGCCUUGGGAGGAGAGGAGGUGGUAGAUGAAUAUCUUGAACCAAUUGAUUACUCUACUAGCCAGGAUCCAGAUUUUUUCGAGCACAUGGUUAAGAAAGCAGAAAGGGGGGAGCUGGAUGAGAAGCGUAUGGAUAUGUAUAGAAGGAGUGAAAGAAACAAGGGAAAAGAAGACUGCAAUGUUGAGGAAAAGGCAAAAAAGAGGGCCGAAGACAAAGACAAUUAUGAAAAGCCAAGAAAAAAUAGAUCUCAUGAAGGGGGGCGUAAAUCAGGUUGA
rnacentral:rRNA from 1 species